UACGAAGGGGGCUAGCGUUGCUCGGAAUGACUGGGCGUAAAGGGCUCGUAGGCGGCCAACUAAGUCAGACGUGAAAUCCCUCGGCUUAACCGGGGAACUGCAUCUGAUACUGGAUGGCUUGAGUUCGGGAGAGGGAUGCGGAAUUCCAGGUGUAGCGGUGAAAUGCGCAGAUAUCAGGAGGAACACCGGUGGCGAAGGCGGGUCUCUGGGCCGAUAUUGACGCUGAGGAGCGAAAGCGUGGGGAGCGAACAGG
rnacentral:rRNA from 1 species